ACUCAAAGGAAUAGACGGGGGCCCGCACAAGCAGCGGAGCAUGUGGCUUAAUUCGACGCAACGCGAAGAACCUUACCAAGGCUUGACAUGCAGAGUAAUCCAUCAGAGAUGGUGGGUCCGCAAGGGAUUCUGCACAGGUGGUGCAUGGCUGUCGUCAGCUCGUGUCGUGAGAUGUUGGGUUAAGUCCCGCAACGAGCGCAACCCUCGUUCUAUGUUGCCAGCGCGUAAUGGCGGGGACUCAUAGGAGACUGCCGGGGUCAACUCGGAGGAAGGUGGGGACGACGUCAAGUCAUCAUGCCCCUUAUGUCUUGGGCUGCACACAUGCUACAAUGGCCGGUACAAAGGGCUGCGAAACCGCAAGGUAGAGCGAAUCCCAAAAAGCCGGUCUCAGUUCGGAUUGGGGUCUGCAACUCGACCCCAUGAAGUCGGAGUUGCUAGUAAUCGCAGAUCAGCAACGCUGCGGUGAAUACGUUCCCGGGCCUUGUACACACCGCCCGU
rnacentral:rRNA from 1 species